AAAUCCUUGAGGAAUAAAAUAUUAAAUUUUAAAUAAAUAUAAGAACUGAUCUUGUAAUUACACAAGCCAGAGAGAUUCGUACAAGUGCGGGGGUAGGAGUGGCAGCGAAAUUAGAUUUUGACAAAUUCCGUUUGGUCUACAAAUUUUUUGCCAGACACUGAAAUUUAUUUACUUGCUAAAUAUCUCAAACACCAUUCACACAAUACUCCUAUAAAGCAGAAUGGUUUGUUACCGAUGAUAGUGAGGUGUAUGUCUCAAAACAGAAAAGCACUUGAUGCAAAUUUUGAUUUUGUCAAAAUGGGGACAGACCCUAAAAAUGUGCCAACAAAAUGGCUAUCAUUGUUGUCAGCCAAAGAAACGAUAUCAAAAUGUUGGCCUGCCAUAAAAUCAUGUUUUCAAACUGUGAGAAAGGAAGAAAGUGGGAAAGGGACCUGGAAAUGAUCUUCUUCACUACAGCACCAGGUCACAUGCCCAUGUGUUCAGUCUUUCUAAGGACUCUCUUUCUGCUUCAGUCAUAGAAUGCACUGAGCUAAAUGACUCAAUCCGAGGUCACAGUGCUUCUGUGGAAAUGAGUCUGUGUAAGGGCAUCCCUCCCUUGGAGACAGUUACAGGAGGUCGUUCUCAUGUUCACAUAUCCCAGGAUCCUCGGGUGUCUUGUUCAACACGUAACCAGUUAGAAACUUAGUCCUGACCUCACAGCAGCAACAACAACGACAAAAUGCAAGACAAUUGGAAAACAACAGCCCUCCUUAGAUCCAUUCCCAGUUGAGCUCACAGGGCCAGCCUCUCCCUGGGAACUGGAGGAAGAGGAGGAUACAGAGAACCACACCUUACCAGGAGCAGGUACUGGUAGGAACACAAUCUGGAACUGAAGCUUGUUUCAGGCUCUGUGUCCUCCACCUUGAAAGUUACAAGCUCCGGGGCUCCAGACCUAGUAAGGCCCACAGGUUUGUGAGCUUUGCCUUCAGAAUCCCCACUAGGCUCCCCCUCUGUACAUCAGAGAAAAAUCUGAUGGCUUUUCCAGCAGCGGGAGGGGAGAAGUAAUCACUCUGAAAUACUCCUAGUCUCCACUUCUCCUUACCAAAGGCCUUUCCUCAGGGAAACCUUCCAGAGCCUAAUUGACCUGGGGCAAGGGCUAUCAGGAUCCCAAGCCACUGUAACUCUCCUGUCUUCCCAGCAGGGUGGCAGAAAAGCUGAGGAGCUCUUGAGAACGACACAGCCAGGAGCACAGGCUCACUUAAAGCGUGACCCUGAAAUCUAGGUUUGUAGAGCACCCUCUUUCCCCAUACCUAUCAGCACAUCAACAGGAUUCCCACAUAAUACUGGGACUACAACUGAAAAGGACAGCCAGUAUCUGAAGACUCCUAACUCUGGGAAAUGAACUAGGGGUGGUGGAAGGGGAGGAGGGCGGGGGUGGCGGUGAAUGGGUGACGGGCACUGAGGGGGGCACUUGACGGGAUGAGCACUGGGUGUUGUUAUUCUGUAUGUUGGCAAAUUGAACACCAAUAAAAAAUAAAUUUAUUAUUAAAAAAAAAAAGAAGGCUCUAGGGGACACAGAAGCAGGGACACCAGAGGAAUGUAGCCUCUGACAGCUUGGCUGCAACAAACUGUAAGCUCACCCCAAUUGCUAGCAGGAGAAACAUAAAACCUCACCUACAGGCCAAUUUUCUGUAGUUCCUUUUACCAGGUUCAUCCCAAUCAGCUGUCCACAAACACACAUCAAACAUUUUGGUGAAAAGUACAGUUUGAAGAGACUGAACAUGCAUCAGAAUGAGACUAAGAUAUCCUAGAGAUUUUGAAAAUAUCAGACCAGGAAUUGAAAAUUACUGUGACUAUGUGCUGAGGGGUCAAUGUAUUCAUAUAUACAUCUUUCCCAUGAUUUAUGCCACAAUAUGUAGGGUAUCUACGAUAGUUAAAAAAAUAAAAUAUUUUUUCUUAUAAUACUAUGUUCACUUAAUAGUGUGUUCAGAUAAACUAUUUCCACCUUUGUCUUUUAUUAUUUUCUUGUUUAAUUUAUGAAUUUUUUUCUCCUGAAGACAUUUUGGAUUUUUUUAUUCUUAAGAGAAGUAGCCUGAAUUUGAAACCCAUCCUGGAGAAUCCAUGGGGGAAUUCAAUGCACUCAUUCACUUUUCCAGUCAGUUAUAUAUUAAACUGUUAAUAUAUAGUUAUAUAUUAAAACUGUUUAUUUCUAGGUUACAUUGUUAUACUUCUGAGAAUAUUGAGGUGAAAAAAGGAAAGCCCAUUCUUUUGGUGCUUUCCAUUUGGAAGAGGAAAGAGAUGUAAAAGCAGCCAUCAAGCUUAAUGCAUUCCAUUUAUGUUUCAUGGUACAAUGAGAGGUAGAGCACACAGGAUUCCUUUCAGCAGGAGCUUGAAUGAGGGAGGUCAGGGAGAGGGGAGAGCAGACUUCCCACUGGUAGAGGCAGAUGUGAAUCUGGGAUCUCCAACUGUGUACUCCUGGAGACAUUAAAUUGCAAUGGUUGGUUGCAUAUUUGGAGGACUGAAUGUCCUUCCUUCUGAGUUGAGUGUGGAAUGAGAAGAUGCUCUAAAGCUCAAAAAACUUCAACUUUUAAGGCUGAGAAAAAGAAGAAGAGCCUGCAAGGGCAGAGAGAUAGUGCAGCUGGUAUAAGUGGGACACAACCAGGGAAGAUCGAUCUUCAGAAAGGAUGGAAGAAGAGAAGCUUGAGAAUUUCCCAAGAUGAGUCUUAAGGAGUAAUUUAUGACAUGUGCUAUAGGAUUAUGCAUGGUCUCUGGAUUUGCUGUGAAUCUAGUUGUUUGCUCCUGAGAAACUCUCUUGAGCUCUCUGAAACUGUUUACCCAAAUAUAGAGUAGGAAUAUUCCUAGAGCUGUUGUAACAACGAAGUAGCACAUUUAAAGGUAUCUAGUAUCUUCCAUUGAGCGAGAAUUUAACAGAUGAUGGCUGUUUUCUUGUUUUUUAUUUUUUUCAGAGAUCUCUGAGAGAAUAAUGAACUUCUCCUAGAUUUCUCUUUAUAACUGACUAUAAACUGCUGAUGGUCUAAAAUACCUGGUUGAGAACGGGUGGCUCAUCAAUUGUAUAUUACUCUUUCCAUAAUAAUAUACUAUGUACACAUAUGCACUAUAUGUAGGUACACAUCCCCUAUACAUUCCGACACAGCACAUUCCCCUUCCUCCCUGUUUCCCCAGAUCCCAUCCUUUCUCUCUCAAAUCACACAGUUUCCCUCCCCGCAGUGUAGAAACCCCCAGUGAGCUCUGCCCAGCUCUGUGACUCUCCUUCCCAUUCACACAGCUGCUUCCUUUUCCGUUGCGGUUUCUCUCUGGCAGUUUUAUUUCCCAUUACAAAGCCACCAAGUAAGAGCAAAAGUUGUUUGAAAUUUCUAGGUUUUUUAGAAACUCUCAUAGGAGAAGCCUUGUUCUCUUUUUUUCUCCUGGUGACUAUUUUUGGACCAGAGUGAAUGUCCCUGCUGCAGUGAUGUAAGUGUAGCUGUAGCAAAAAGGAAAUAGAAACAGGAGACUGCUGUACAGUGGCCCUGCACAAUAUUUACAAGAGAUGAGUGCCCUCCACUGGCCAGGAUGGACUAAGACAGUGAGCUAGUCUGGAGAGGUGGCUUGUGUUCUAUGUAGAAGUAUGUCCCCUGGCCAACUGUUUGUUCCUCCAGAGCAAAACAAAAACAAAACAAAAAAAAAAAAAAAACACCUCUUUCCUGGAAUGAACUGACUCUGUUAGUGUAAUAAGCCAAUUUCUAUGGCUUUUAUGAACUUUUGCAAAAAUAUACUUUCUAAAAAUAGCAGUUAUAUUCACAGCAAAAGUGAGAAGUUACUGCAUUUUUUCACAUCCUCUCUCCUUCUGUAUCUGCAGAGUCUCUCCCAUUACCAUCAUUCCUCCACCAGUGGUAAGUUGUUACAAUUGCCUCCAAGGUGUAACCAGUAGUUUUAGGAUUGUGAACAAAUCUUUAACAUUACAGGGUUUGUGGUACUCUGAAGCUCAACCUGGGAGGGUCUAACAAAACCUUAGUCCUCAGUAGUUUAUUGUCUUUUAUUGGGUUUUACUGAGUAUCACACGAGAAGCAAUGACACUGAAUUUGUGGAAGAUACACACAAUGUCUGCAAGAUAUUUUGCAGGGCUAACUGAAUAGCCUAGAAUUAGAGGACUUUCUCUCCAUCAUUUCCUGGAUCUCAAAGUCACACUGGGAGGGGUAAAUUUUGCUUACUUGUGAACCUCCAUUGGCAGUCUGGAGGACAUUGCUGAUGUUUGAGCUUUGUUGAGAGGUGGGCUUUGGAAAUUUAAUACAAAUAGAUGAUAUGUUAUGACUUAAUGCUGCAAAAUUUAUUCCACACAUCAGUAAUUCUAUCUACUGCUAAACAGAAAAAAUUUUAACAACAACAUGAUGAGUAUCUCAUGGGAGGUGAAGUUAAAAAGCACUUUCUGUUCGAAGCCGCAAUAACUCAGCACCCUAAAAACAAAUGUGAAGUAAAGAAAUUAAUUUUUCAAUUGCUGUAAGCAAUUUGAAAUGAUUCUAAAUAUUUAAGUACAUUGACAUCAUUAUUAUGUCUUUCUAGAAAUUGUUAAUUUGCAAAUGUACUUUUUAUAUUUCAAGUGUGUGAGUAAAAAUUAGAAGUUGCUAAUCAAAUCUAGUUAUCCAGUGAAGCAUCAGUACCCCAAAUUUAACUUUCAGGAUUAAAUUUUUAGUCAUUCUACACCCUGAGUUGAAUAAACAGCAAAAUUUACACUUUCUUUUUUAUGUAUAAAGCAGGGGUAUAAACACAACAUAAAUAUAUAUAUUGUAUAUCUGUGUUACUAAGUUUUCAUGGAAGGUUCAGUUACAUUAAUAAUCAAAGACACUGAAGUAAAGAGACAAUAAAAAAAAUUGGGUGGGAAACCCACGCUCUCAAGUAGAAAGUGCAUAAGGGAAAGCAAAAAGAGAAGUAGAAAGUGAGGGAGACGUUCAGAAAUUGAAAACGUGCCUGUUGCCUACUUAAGCCCCACACACGAGGGAAGAUGCUCAGAGAAGCUGAAGCCGCGGUUCCCACACUUGCCCAGCGCAGCCAGGCCCA
rnacentral:lncRNA from 1 species